rnacentral:rRNA from 1 species
CUAGUCUUAUCGGUGGAUCACUCGGCUCGUGGAUCGAUGAAGAACGCAGCCAACUGCGAUAAUUAGUGUGAACUGCAGAAACCUUGAACACGGAAAAUUCGAAUGCACAUUGCGCCAGUGGAGUGAAAUCCAUUGGCACGCCUGGUUCAGGGUCGUUU